rnacentral:rRNA from 1 species
UGCUUAAGGAUAGGUCGGCGGCGGAUUAGGUUGUUGGUGGGGUAAUGGCCCACCAAGCCGAAGAUCCGUAGGGGCCUUGAGAGAGGUAGCCCCGAGAAGGACACUGCGAAACUGGUCCUAGCCCUACGGGGUGCAGCAGGCGCGAAAACUUUACAAUGCACGCAAGUGUGAUAAGGGUAUCCUAAGUGCUCAACUUUGUUGGGCUUUUGCCAAGAGUAAAUACCUUGGCGAAUAAAUGGUGGGUAAGACGGGUGCCAGCCGCCGCGGUAACACCCGCGCCAUGAGUGGCAAUCAUAUAUUGGGCCUAAAGCGUUCGUAGCCGGUCUAGUAAAUCUUCUGUGAAAUUGUUGCGCUUAACGUAACAACGUGCAGGAGACACUGCAAGACUUGAAACCGGGAGGAGUCAGAAGUAUUCUGAGGGGAGCGGUAAAAUGCUAUAAUCCUUGGAAGACUACCUGUGGCGAAGGCGUCUGACUAGAACGGAUUUGACGGUGAGGAACGAAAGCCAGGGGAGCGAUCCGGAUUAGAUACCCGAGUAGUCCUGGCCGUAAACGCUGCGAGCAAGGUGUUGCGUAUUCUUGUGAAUGCGCAGUAUCGAAGAGAAGUCGUUAAGCUCGCCGCCUGGGAAGUAUGGUCGCAAGACUGAAACUUAAAGGAAUUGGCGGGGGAGCACCACAAGGGGUGCGGCGUGCGGUUUAAUUUAAUUCAACGCAGAAAAUCUCACCAGGGGCGCCGGCAGUAUGAAGGUCAGUCUAAAGGGCUUACCUGACGAGCCGAGAGGAGGUGCAUGGCCGUCGUCAGCUCGUGCCGUAAGGUGUCCAGUUAAGUCUGGUAACGAGCGAGACCUGUACUUACAAUUGCUAACGAGUUCCACGGAAUGAUCGAGCACAUUGUCAGGACUGCCUCGGAAACGAGGAGGAAGGUGCAGGCUACGAUAGGUCUGUAUGCCCCGAAUCUCCUGGGCUACACGCGCGCAACAAUGGUAAGGACAAUGGGAUGCAACUCCGAAAGGAGAAGCUAAACCUCUAAACCUUAUCCUAGUCUGAAUCGAGGACUGUAACUCGUCCUCGUGACACUGGAAUCCCUAGUAAUCGUUCUUCAACACGGAACGGUGAAUAUGUCCCUGCUCCUUGCACACACUGCCCGUCAAACCACUCGAGCAGGGUCCAAGUGAGUCUUAACUUCUUGGUUAAGCCGAACUUGGGCUCAGUGAGAUGGGUUAAGUCGUCACAAGGUA